rnacentral:rRNA from 1 species
GCCCUACGGGACGCAGCAGUAGGGAAUUUUCGGCAAUGGGGGGAACCCUGACCGAGCAACGCCGCGUGAACGAAGAAGUAUUUCGGUAUGUAAAGUUCUUUUAUUGGAGAAGAAAGAGAAAUUUGACGGUAACCAAUGAAUAAGCUCCGGCUAACUACGUGCCAGCAGCCGCGGUAAUACGGAGGAUGCGAGCGUUAUCCGGAUUUAUUGGGUUUAAAGGGUGCGUAGGCGGUCCGUUAAGUCAGCGGUAAAAUUGCGGGGCUCAACCCCGUCGAGCCGUUGAAACUGGCAGACUUGAGUUGGCG